GCAAAACUGUACCUCCUACACAAAAUUCAUGUUUUUAGAUGAGAGAAGAUUUGUAGAUCAAGAGGAAGAGAUGGAAGAAGAAGUUGUUGUUAAAUCGAAGUUUUUAAUAAUUCAUAUUAAUAGGAACAAGAAGAAGAAAAGGAAAUAAAAGAACUGUGAUAAAUCUAUUGGUACGAGCGGACUCGGAAUUGGGGUUUUCAUAUGGCUUGCCUGUGGUAGUUCAUCCUUGAUUUCAAGAUUGCGUCUUCUGAAAAUACUGGAAAAUGAGGUUGAAGGUUGAUCGAAACUUGUCAGGUGAUUCUUCUUGUCAAACUUGUCAGAAUUUGAAUGUCAAACUUGUCAGAAUUUGAAUGUCAAACUUGUCAGGUUUGAGGAGAAGCUCAUUAUGCACAUCUGAAGGGAUACAGCUAAAGGUUAGGGGUCCUCCUCUUGUUAGGAGCUGUAAGGACAAGUCGUUGAGACCAACGCCGAAGCAGCGAACAAAUAAGUAGGAAGGAAAUAGCACAAUUCAAACAAACAUGUCCUAAAUCAAUGAUGAUGCUUAAUGCUGCUUUAGCAGGCACCAAAACUGUUCAUUGGCUUGCACUUGAAUUACAGUGGUGAAUUUAUUGCUUGAUAUAAGAAAUCCCUUGAAGAACUAGUCUUUGUUGCCGAAGCUACUCUUCUGACAAAGAACUCUUUAGUCUCGGGGUUUAGUGGUGAAGGAAAGAAUGUUCAUCGUGAAAGGGGAUGUAAGGACAAGUCGUCGAGGCUAAUGAUAAAGCAGAAGAUGCAAACAUAUGAGCAGAAUCACUUGGUAAUUGUUCAAAUACGACCCACUCUGUUCGUCUUAUGUCUAGUCAUGUUACGGAAUUAGUUCGAUUACUCUUGCUCUCACACAAGCCAUUUUAGGGGAUAUGUUUAGGUAAUUGCCUACAGAUCCACAACAACAAUAGAUAAUACAAAAUAAUGGUAUCUUUCGAAAUUUAGAAGUAAACGAUGCAGUGGCAACUUGAUGACCAUGUUGAUAAAUGAUCUUUGACGUCGGAAAAAUGGCUAGUAUGAGGAUUAACAUGCUUGGCGGAGUCCCAAGAGUGUUUCUAGGAUUGGACCCUAGCUUCAAGACCAAUGUCAUAUUGAACCUUGUUAGUUCACAAUUGCAGACUUGAUACAUUUAAUCGUCUAGGAAGGAACCAUUGGGAGGACCUAAUCUGACACGAUCCCGAAGCAAUCUUGUUUUAGCUUUUUAGGUUGUCAUGAUCUUGCUAGAACACAUGUGAACAGUUGCUCGCUAAAUUGAUGUGGUUUACUGUCAGUUGUAUUUUAUCUGUCGGAUAUGGCUAGUGGAGGAUCCGAAUUUGGGGAUAUCUGUGUGUCUUUGUAAUGUGCAUGGAGGUUUUGGGAGAAGCUAAUUAUACACCUGAAGUUUGAAGGUUAGGGGUCCUCGUCAUAAAAGGGGGUUGUAAUGGCUAGUAAUGCUAAGCAGAAGAGGUGAACAUAUAAGAACAAGCAAAGCAACUAGCAUUAUGGCAUAAUUGAAACAAACAUGCCCAAAUUGACGAAAAUGCUUGAUGCUGUUUUAACAGGUGAAUAUCUUAUGCCAAUAUGCCUUGAUGUUAAUAUCUCAUAUUCAAGAGCUUUCAGAAAAGGAAGUCAUACGCACAGACUAUAGGGGAUUCGGUGACCUCUCUUGGAAACCUAAUACAAGAAUCACUUAGUAAUUUUUUUGAUUUGGACCAUUUUGUUCAUCUUUUGCCUAGCCCUUCUAAGGAAUCAAUCUGAUUGCUGUGGCUCUUUUUAUAUGCAAUACUGAGAAACCAUCUCUCACAGGUGAUUUCAAAUGUACCAUAGUUGUAUGGUGAUACACUGAUAGUACAUUGAUUUGAGCUCAGUUAUGGCCAGAGCUAAUAGUACCUGACCAUCUAGGAAAUCAUGCGUCACCAAAUUUUGUAGUGGAAAUAAAGCAAGGUAGUAAAAAACCAAAGAGCUUGAUUUACUUUAUUAGCGCCAGAGACUUUUUGGAUUCCCUCCAGUAGUCAUUGGAGUCUAAAUCUAGUUCACUUGGUUACAGCAUUAUAUUCAUCUAAUGCGUCCCGGCUUCCAAGAAUCAAUAGACCAAUGUGUUUUAGACAUUUUUGGCUCAGAUUUCAUCUAAUUUCAGAAGGAUAUUUGGUGGUUUCUCUCUCUUUAGCAUUGGACAUCAAAUAAUUUUUAAGCUAGCUCUUUUUCCUUUUUUUUCUCCUUCAAAUUCUUGUCUAUUUUGCGUUAGUUUGUUUUUCCUUAAUUUUUAGAUUUCCCUGUCAGAGGUUUGUAUAAUUGAAGUUUUGAUCACACUGUAUCCGAUCUUAUGGAGAGAGGAGAGAGAAGGCCUCUAGCUGCUUUUGCUGCCGCUGAAGACUAUUCUCUCGGUGGUUCUGUCAAGUCUCCUGACUUUUAAGGCCGCGGAAGAUGGUAAUUGGGUAAAUGUGCUCCUCCUCCGUCUGUGCAGCCUAAUACAGCCCUACGUCCGAAAGAACAAGUCCAAGAAAAGAAGAAUGAAACGACGACUGAUACUUCCUAAAGAGAAAUACCAGCCUGAUUGUCUGUCAUUUCAAGGAUGUAAAAAUGCCGCUCUUGGAGGGUUUUGAGAAAAUGGAGAUUAUGAUGUGUGUGUAAAUAGUAAAUUUCAUGGAGAUCCAAUUGUUACCUUAUUUUGUCUUUAAAAGAAAAACUCUUCGAGUCAUUCAUGAAGACACAUUACAAGGCUUAGAUCCUUGUGGGGAGAAGCAUACUGAAUUUAAAACGUUGUUUAAACUUAAUGGCUUGGAUUUGUUUAAA